rnacentral:rRNA from 1 species
GAUGAACGCUGGCGGCGUGCUUAACACAUGCAAGUCGAACGAAGCUGCUAAAAGGAAGUCUUCGGAUGGAAUUUUGGUAGACUUAGUGGCGGACGGGUGAGUAACGCGUGGAUAACCUGCCUUAUACAGGGGGAUAACGGAGAGAAAUUUCCGCUAAGACCGCAUAAGACCACAGCACCGCAUGGUGCAGGGGUAAAAUAUUUAUAGGUAUAAGAUGGAUCCGCGUCCGAUUAGCUAGUUGGUGAGGUAGAGGCUCACCAAGGCGACGAUCGGUAGCCGGCCUGAGAGGGUGAACGGCCACAUUGGGACUGAGACACGGCCCAAACUCCUACGGGAGGCAGCAGUGGGGAAUAUUGGACAAUGGGGGAAACCCUGAUCCAGCGACGCCGCGUGAGUGAAGAAGUAUUUCGGUAUGUAAAGCUCUAUCAGCAGGGAAGAAAAUGACGGUACCUGACUAAGAAGCCCCGGCUAACUACGUGCCAGCAGCCGCGGUAAUACGUAGGGGGCAAGCGUUAUCCGGAUUUACUGGGUGUAAAGGGAGCGCAGACGGCGAAGCAAGUCUGAAGUGAAAUGCAUGGGCUCAACCCAUGAAUUGCUUUGGAAACUGUUUGGCUUGAGUGUCGGAGGGGUAAGCGGAAUUCCUAGUGUAGCGGUGAAAUGCGUAGAUAUUAGGAGGAACACCGGAGGCGAAGGCGGCUUACUGGACGACAACUGACGUUGAGGCUCGAAGGCGUGGGGAGCAAACAGG